GAUGAACGCUGGCGGCGUGCCUAAUACAUGCAAGUCGAGCGAACAGAUAAGGAGCUUGCUCCUUUGACGUUAGCGGCGGACGGGUGAGUAACACGUGGAUAACCUACCUAUAAGACUGUGAUAAUUUCGGGAAACCGGAGCUAAUACCGGAUAACAUAUUGAACCGCAUGGUUCAAUAGUGAAAGGCGGCUUUGCUGUCACUUAUAGAUGGAUCCGCGCCGUAUUAGCUAGUUGGUAAGGUAACGGCUUACCAAGGCAACGAUACGUAGCCGACCUGAGAGGGUGAUCGGCCACACUGGAACUGAGACACGGUCCAGACUCCUACGGGAGGCAGCAGUAGGGAAUCUUCCGCAAUGGGCGAAAGCCUGACGGAGCAACGCCGCGUGAGCGAUGAAGGUCUUCGGAUCGUAAAACUCUGUUAUCAGGGAAGAACAAAUGUGUAAGUAACUGUGCACAUCUUGACGGUACCUGAUCAGAAAGCCACGGCUAACUACGUGCCAGCCGCCGCAGUAA
rnacentral:rRNA from 1 species